GAUGAACGCUGGCGGUCUGCUUAACACAUGCAAGUCGAACGCAACCUUCGGGUUGAGUGGCGGACGGGUGAGUAACGCGUGAGAAUCUGCCUUGGGGUCGGGGACAACCACUGGAAACGGUGUCUAAUACCGGAUAAGCCUUUGGGUAAAAAAUUUAUUGCCCCAAGAGGAGCUCGCGUCUGAUUAGCUAGUUGGUGAGGUAAGAGCUCACCAAGGCAGCGAUCAGUAGCUGGUCUGAGAGGACGAUCAGCCACACUGGGACUGAGACACGGCCCAGACUCCUACGGGAGGCAGCAGUGGGGAAUUUUCCGCAAUGGGCGAAAGCCUGACGGAGCAAGACCGCGUGAGGGAGGAAGGCUCUUGGGUUGUAAACCUCUUUUCUCAGGGAAGAAGCUCUGACGGUACCUGAGGAAUCAGCCUCGGUUAACUCCGUGCCAGAAGCCGCGGUAAUACGGAGGAGGCAAGCGUUAUCCGGAAUUAUUGGGCGUAAAGCGUCCGCAGGUGGCGAUUCAAGUCUGCUUGUCAAAGCACGGGGCUUAACUCCGUUAAGGCAGUGGAAACUGAAUAGCUAGAGUGCCGUAGGGGUAGAGGGAAUUCCCGGUGUAGCGGUGAAAUGCGUAGAGAUCGGGAAGAACAUCGGUGGCGAAAGCGCUCUACUGGACGGCAACUGACACUCAGGGACGAAAGCUAGGGGAGCGAAUGGGAUUAGAUACCCCAGUAGUCCUAGCUGUAAACGAUGGAUACUAGGUGUAGCUUGUAUCGACCCGAG
rnacentral:rRNA from 1 species